GCUAAACAGCUAGCUUAACCACUUAAAUAACCAACACAACAUUAAAUAGCUUAACACAGACCCCAACCCACCAAACCAAAACAUUCUACCGCCCUAGUAUGGGAGACAGAAAAGGCACACCCCAAAGCAAUAACAAAAGUACCGCAAGGGAACGCUGAAAGAGAAAUGAAAUAAAUCAUUAAAGCACAACAAAGCAGAGAUUAAACCUCGUACCUUUUGCAUCAUGAUUUAGCUAGUAUUAUUGAGCAAAGAGUACUUUAGUUCAAACCCCCGAAACUAAGUGAGCUACCCCGGGACAGCCUAUUAAUUAGGGCCAACCCGUCUCUGUGGCAAAAGAGUGGGAAGAUCCCCGGGUAGAGGUGACAGACCUACCGAACUUAGUUAUAGCUGGUUGCCUAAGAAAUGAAUAGAAGUUCAGCCCGCACCCCUCAACUCACAAGCACAUUAAAACUAUGAGUCAGAGUAAUAUGCGAGAGUUAGUCAAAGGAGGUACAGCUCCCUUGAACCAGGACACAACCUUACCAGGAGGUUAAAGAUUAUAUUAAUUAAGAUACACCGCUUCAGUGGGCCUAAAAGCAGCCACCCAAAUAGAAAGCGUUAAAGCUCAAGCGGAACAAAAAUCCAUUAUUCAAAUAUUUAAUCUUAAACCCCUAACCAUACUAGGCCGCCCUAUGCACCCAUAGGAGAGAUGCUGCUAAAAUGAGUAAUAAGAAGGGAAACCCCUUCUCCCAGCCUACGUGUACGCUAGAUCGAACCCCCGCUAGCAAUUACCGAACCCAACAAAAGAGGGUAAUGUGUUUACAUUAAACGCCAAGAAAACCGCACAAGACCCAAUCGUUAACCCCACACCGGAAGGCUCAAAAUGAGGAAAGACUAAAAGAAAAGGAAGGAACUCGGCAAACACAAGCCUCGCCUGUUUACCAAAAACAUCGCCUCCUGCAAAAAUCAAUGUAUAGGAGGUCCUACCUGCCCAGUGACAAGUUUAACGGCCGCGGUAUUUUGACCGUGCAAAGGUAGCGCAAUCACUUGUCUUUUAAAUGAAGACCUGUAUGAAUGGUGGAACGAGGGCUUAACUGUCUCCCCUUUCAAGUCAAUGAAAUUGAUCUGCCCGUGC
rnacentral:rRNA from 1 species